UACAGAGGGUGCGAGCGUUGUCCGGAAUCACUGGGCUUAAAGGGCGCGUAGGCGGGUUCCCGAGUCCGCGGUGAAAUCCUCCCGCUCAACGGGAGAACGGCCGUGGAUACUGGGGGCCUGGAGGCGGGUAGGGGCGGGCGGAACUCUGGGUGGAGCGGUGAAAUGCGUUGAUAUCCAGAGGAACUCCGGUGGCGAAGGCGGCCCGCUGGACCCGAUCUGACGCUGAGGCGCGAAAGCCAGGGGAGCGAACGGG
rnacentral:rRNA from 1 species